rnacentral:lncRNA from 1 species
GCUUAAAGUAAUUAUACUUCUAUUCACCAGCUGUAUUCCUAAUUAACAAGAAUUCCUUUUCUAAGGUCUGUGGAUGACAUGUUGCUGAGUACAACAUCUUUCACAUUUAAUAAGAAAAAGGAGGCACUAAAGUUUAACUUUUUAAAGUGGUAUUUUUUUGUGUAUUAUGUUAUCACAGCAGAAUUUAUUUUCAUUUUCCAUCCAUCUCCUGUAACUAUAACAUCUGAACUUCCAUAUCACAAGAUUUUCUUUCUCUUCUGUACACAUCUGCAAACCUUGAGAUCAGUCUUCUCUAAGCAAUUCCAGAUGUCUCUACCUGCAGCUCUACAGAUCACCAGAGAUUAAAAUGGGGAUUCAGGGCAGAGGGAAAACCCUGGCUACAAGGCAAGAUGUCCAGAUUAUACUCAUAAGUCUGUAAAACUUUUUGGGUGAGUAGUUACCUUGUUUGACAGCAGCAAAGCUUUUCAUCUAUAAAUGGAUUAUAAUACUUAGCUUAUAAGAAUUCUGGGAAUAUGAAUAAAUAAAUGUUGAAACUACUUUAAUGAGAGGUA